rnacentral:rRNA from 1 species
UACAGAGGUGCCAAGCGUUAGGCGGAAUCACUGGGCUUAAAGCGCGCGUAGGCGGAUGUUUAAGUGUCUUGUGAAAUCCCACGGCUCAACCGUGGAACUGCUGGGCAUACUGGACAUCUCGAGGCACUCAGGGGCGAGCGGAACAAGUGGUGGAGCGGUGAAAUGCGUAGAUAUCUGGAGGAACACCGGUGGCGAAGGCGACGGUCCUGGACCGGCAUUGACGCUGAGGCGCGAAAGCCAGGGGGAGCAAACGGGG